AUACGUAGGGGGCGAGCGUUGUCCGGAAUGAUUGGGCGUAAAGGGCGCGUAGGCGGCCCGGUAAGUCUGGAGUGAAAGUCCUGUUUUUAAGAUGGGAAUUGCUUUGGAUACUGUCGGGCUUGAGUGCAGGAGAGGUAAGUGGAAUUCCCAGUGUAGCGGUGAAAUGCGUAGAGAUUGGGAGGAACACCAGUGGCGAAGGCGACUUACUGGACUGUAACUGACGCUGAGGCGCGAAAGUGUGGGGAGCAAACAGGAUUAGAUACCCUGGUAGUCCACACUGUAAACGAUGAAUGCUAGGUGUAGGGGGUAUCGACCCCUUCUGUGCCGCAGUCAACACAAUAAGCAUUCCACCUGGGGAGUACGACCGCAAGGUUGAAACUUAAAGGAAUUGACGGGG
rnacentral:rRNA from 1 species